CAAAAACCCAGGCAAGAGCACUCUAACCUCGUUUGUCUAUGUGAGGUAUUUUUUUAAUUUAAGAUUGCAAUUUAAUAUCAGAUAAUCACUGAUUCGAAAGCUCGCUUGUAAUGACGCUAUCGAAAUCGGACCUCCCAGCGAUAUACUCGUUCUUGACCGAUUCAUUGAGUGGCGACGAAAUCGUCCGCAAGCCAGCAGAGGAGGCUCUCUCUCAGUGCGAGGCUAGGCCCAGCUUUUGCUCUUGUCUCAUGUGUGGUAUUGCUGCCAACGGUCAAAAACCAAAAACCCUAACUCGGUGUUGGUGAUUGCGUUUUGAGCCACGAACGAGGGGAGGUACUAUACAGUGGAUUGCGGAAACCCUAUUAUUUGGGGGAACCGAAGCUUUUCGAAUUGAAGUUUUACGCAAUGGGAGCUGUUAAGUUGGAACUUCGUUGUCCCCAAACUGUUGAGGGAAUUGCUGCCGACCCUGAACCUGAUUGGAGCUUCAAUGCUCUUUUAACAGAGCUUAAUGCAUUGGAAACAAAACUUAGUAGCUCUUCCAAAGUCCCUUUUAACAGAGCUUAAUGCAUUGGAAACAAAAACAGAGAAUAUGUC